GUAGUUGGUGAGGUAAUGGCUCACCAAGCCGAUAAUCGAUAGGGGCCGUGAGAGCGGGAGCCCCGAGAUGGGUACUGAGACAACGACCCAGACCUUACGAGGUGCAGCAGGCGCGAAACCUCCGCAAUACACGAAAGUGUGACGGGGUUACCCAAAGUGUUCAUAAGAACUGUGGUAGGUGAGUAAUGUCCCCUACUAGAAAGGAGAGGGCAAGGCUGGUGCCAGCCGCCGCGGUAAAACCAGCUCUUCAAGUGGUCGGGAUAAUUAUUGGGCUUAAAGUGUCCGUAGCCGGUUUAGUAAGUUCCUGGUAAAAUCGGGUAGCUUAACUAUCCGUAUGCUAGGAAUACUGCUAAUACUAGAGGGCGGGAGAGGUCUGAGGUACUACUGGGGUAGGGGUGAAAUCUUAUAAUCCUAGUAGGACCACCAGUGGCGAAGGCGUCAGACUGGAACGCGCCUGACGGUGAGGGACGAAAGCCAGGGGAGCGAACCGGAUUAGAUACCCGGGUAGUCCUGGCCGUAAACGAUGCAUACUAGGUGAUGGCACGGCCAUGAGCCGUGUCAGUGCCGUAGGGAAACCGUUAAGUGUGCCGCCUGGGAAGUACGGUCGCAAGGCUAAAACUUAAAGGAAUUGGCGGGGGAGCACCACAAGGGGUGAAGCCUGCGGUUUAAUUGGACCCAACGCCGGGAAACUUACCAGGGGAGACAGCAGUAUGACGGUCAGGUUGACGACCUUACCCGACGAGCUGAGAGGAGUGCAUGGCCGUCGCCAGUUCGUGCCGUGAGGUAUCCUGUUAAGUCAGGCAACGAACGAGAUCCGCGCCUUUAUUUGCCAGCAAGAAGUUACGACUUCGUUGGGAACUCUAAAGGGACCGCCACCGAUAAGGUGGAGGAAGGAGCGGGCAAAGGCAGGUCAGUAUGCCCCGAAACCCCUGGGCUACACGCGGGCUGCAAUGGUAUGAACAAUGGGCAGUAACUCCGAAAGGAGAAACCAAUCCCGAAAUCAUAUCUCAGUUGGAAUUGUCGGCUGUAACUCGCUGACAUGAACGUGGAAUCCCUAGUAAUCGUGUGUCAUCAUCGCACGGUGAAUACGUCUCUGCUCCUUGCACACACCGCCCGUCGCUCCAUCCGAGUGUACUAAAAAUGAGGUUUGGUCAGUCUGGUCAUAUCGAGUUUCUAGUAUGCGAGGAGGGAGAAGUCGUAACAAGGUA
rnacentral:rRNA from 1 species